ensembl:lncRNA
CAGCAAUUAUUGACUACAUUUAAAUAUACAUUUUCCUGUUUUUAAUUAGAGUGUUGACGUUGAUAUGGAAAAUGUAUUUUAAAGAUACGCAAACAUUGAUAUGAUAUAUACUGAUGGGGAAGGGGAGUGCAAAAGAGUUAUAGUUCCCUCUCCCACCCCCCACCCCCCAUUUGAGAACUAACUGUGCCCCAGGUCUGAGUCCUUCAAGCCUGAGGUUUUGAACCUCACCUUAAUAAAGCUACCCAAGGGAUUCUGGUGAGCUUGGAAACUAUAGUUUUAAAGCAAAAAUGACUUCUGCCAACAAAGACACAUUCACCCCUCUACCCUGACCACUUACACAACCCCCACCCUCACCCCUACGCCUCAUACACAUGUUAACUAUGCUCUGGAUACACUGUCAUUCUAGUCUGGCUGGUUUGUUGUGUGCUUCUCCUGGGUAUCUCAUUUACUCUUAUGUUUCAAAUAUCCUCUAAAAAACAUCAACUUUCAUACUUUUUGUCCAGUUCAUGUCUAUAUAUUGAACUGCUUGCUCAUCAGACAUUUUUAUGUGGAUGUUUUACAGGCAUCUCAAAGUCAAUAUAUCCAAGACAAAACAAAUAAGCUUCUCUUCAAAUGCGUUCCUUCUAAGAGUAAACAGCACCACCAUAACCAGAUACUCUAAACAGAAACCUGGAAAUCAUAUCAAUCAUCCUCAUCUUCACAGCUUAUACCUACUCAAUCGUUCACAAUACCCAACAAUUCUAUCUGUUAAGUAUCUUAAAGCUCCAUUCCCAUUCCCUCCCGUCUCUGUAAUCCAAGCCACUUUAUCUCAACUGGACAGCUCUAGGAGCCUCCUAACAGACAUCCCUCUUCCAUUCUUACAUUUCUCCAAUCUAUUUUAACUGAGCAGAUUCAAAAGGAAAAUCAGACUAUAUUAUUUCCCAGUUGAAAUCCUUUCAAAGCAUUCCAAAUGCUUUUGGGAGAAAGGAUAAAAUCUUGACUAUGGCUCACAAGACAUGGAUUGUCCCACUCAUUUCUGCAACUUCAUCUCUUGGCCCUUUUUCCCUGGUUGUUGAACCUCUGAGCCUACAGGCCUUUUGUGAAUUCCUUGAAUGUGCCGAGUUAUUUCCCUCAGCUUCUAGACCUUUGCAGAUGCUAUUCCUUCUCUCUGGAACUCUCUCUUCUCCAUUUACUAUCCAGUAAAUCCCACAUUCAUCUUCUGGACCUCAGCUUAAAUGUCACUUCAGUGGAGAAGCCAUGAUUGACCACCCAUUCCUCCAGGCUAGGUCAGGUCCCCCCUUCCACACUUCCAUGGCACCAUGUACUUUUCCUUCACUACACUCUGCUGCACAGUGUACUUUCCUUUGUUGUCCUUAUUCCAGUUUAUUAUUUUUACAAUUAUUUGUUUUGGUCUAUCUCUUCUGAUAGACUAUAAAUUCCAUGAGGUCAAAGACCAGUCAUGUUCACUGUUCUGUUUACAGUGACUAGCACACAUCCUUGAAUGAAUGAAUGAACUAAUGCUGUUCUGGUAGUUUGGAGGAUAAUAAUAACAGAUAGUUGAGGCAAGAUUUUUCAUUUUAUCCUUGUAACAACCCUGUAAGAAGAUAUAUCAUUAACCUUUCAUAGGUGAGGAAGCCAAAGUUCAUAGAAGUGUAAGGUUACUCAUCCAGGCUAUACAGGGCAAUUCUUCAGGAAGAGGGACCAUUGGCAUUACUCGAAGUUUCAAAGACAGGGAGUUCAUCAGGAUGAGCAAAACCAGUUACCUCCAUUUCCCAUUUAGGACAAAGGCCACUAAAACCUUUAGGGAAGUCCUGGUAAAUGAAGAAGCAUUUCACAUUCAUUGAAAUGGAAAACACACAAAGAAAGGAGCUGGGUGGAUUAAAGCAAAUUAGGUAAAAAAAGAAGAAGAAGAAGUUGGUGUGAUAAAGGCAGGAACAAAGGAAAUGGAUGAGAUAAAGGAAGAAAGAGAAGGGGAGAUAAGUGCAAAGGCACAAGGAAACAAAGGAAAAAACUAGACCUUUCAAAUCCUUGGGAGAGUCCAGAAGAGUGCACAGUGAGGAAGAUAUUGUUUGUGCUUUGAACAAAAAUAGCAGUGUUUCUGAGUACCUAAGCCUUUACAAGCAAAUAGCCAGAGCAUCUGAUGACUACCUGGAUCGUUCAUACCAAGAUUUUAGAGUUUCUUGGUGAAUCAAGAUUAAAAUAACAUUUUCUUUUUGUUCCUAAUGUAUUUGUUUGAAUAUGAGUGAACAUGAUGUUAGAGAAAUAAGAUUUCCUCCUCUAUCCUAAGCCAAAAUUUAUAAUGUUUCCCCAUCUCCUAUGCUCUGUUUCCCCUCUGGUACCACUGUGAGGUUUGCCCUGACCUCUGGUAAAUUAUUUAAACAAAGAGGCUGUUAGACUGAUGUGUCUCUAAAGCUACGGCUGCUUGAGUAGGCAAACUAAAAUCAAAGCCUGUAGGAGGCUGGCCCCGUGACCGAGUGGUUAAGUUCACGUGCUCUGCUGCAGGCGGCCCGGUGUUUUGUUGGUUCCAAUCCUGGCUGCGGACAUGGCACUGCUCAUCAAGCCACGCUCAGGUGGUGUCCCACAUGCCACAACUAGAAGGACCCACAAUGAAGAAUAUACAACUAUGUUCGGGGGGGCUUUGGGGAGAAAAAAGAAAAAGAUAAAAAUCUUUAAAAAAAUAAAAUAAAAUAAAAUCAAAGCCUGUAAAUGCCUCAAGGUUAUGAAAUCAAAAUGCUAAGGAAGGCCCAUCACGGACAGUCAAUAGGCUUUAAGCUAUAACCAAUCGAACAAUUUCCUUUGCUUCCACACUUUCUCUAUAAAAAUCUUUUCCCUGGAUCCUGUUGGCACAGGGCUCCUAACCACUCCCAGUCUAGCUCUGCCAAAUUGAAAUCGAUUUUUUGCUCAAAGGAAC